rnacentral:rRNA from 1 species
CUCCCAAGGGUUUGGCUGUUCGCCAAUUAAAGCGGUACGCGAGCUGGGUUCAAAACGUCGUAAGACAGUUUGGUCUCCUAUCUACUGUGAGCGUAUUAAAUCUUGAAGGACCCCUUCUCUAGUACGAGAGGACCGAGAAGGACGAACCUCUGGUGCACCAGUUGUCAUGUCAAUGGCAUCGCUGGGUAGCUAAGUUCGGGUUAGAUAAGCGCUGAAAGCAUAUAAGCGCGAAGCUGUUCCUAAGAUUAGGAUUUUAUGGCCACCUGGCAGACUACCAGGUUGAUAGGUAAUCGGGUGUAAGUCUCGUAAGAGAUUCAGCCUAGAUUGUACUAAUUGGCCUUU